UGGAAAGGCGCGCGAUACAGGGUGACAGCCCCGUACACAAAAAUGCACAUGCUGUGAGCUCGAUGAGUAGGGCGGGACACGUGGUAUCCUGUCUGAAUAUGGGGGGACCAUCCUCCAAGGCUAAAUACUCCUGACUGACCGAUAGUGAACCAGUACCGUGAGGGAAAGGCGAAAAGAACCCCGGCGAGGGGAGUGAAAAAGAACCUGAAACCGUGUACGUACAAGCAGUGGGAGCACAGAGCAAUCUGUGUGACUGCGUACCUUUUGUAUAAUGGGUCAGCGACUUAUAUUCUGUAGCAAGGUUAACCGAAUAGGGGAGCCGAAGGGAAACCGAGUCUUAACUGGGCGUUAAGUUGCAGGGUAUAGACCCGAAACCCGGUGAUCUAGCCAUGGGCAGGUUGAAGGUUGGGUAACACUAACUGGAGGACCGAACCGACUAAUGUUGAAAAAUUAGCGGAUGACUUGUGGCUGGGGGUGAAAGGCCAAUCAAACCGGGAGAUAGCUGGUUCUCCCCGAAAGCUAUUUAGGUAGCGCCUCGUGAAUUCAUCUCCGGGGGUAGAGCACUGUUUCGGCAAGGGGGUCAUCCCGACUUACCAACCCGAUGCAAACUGCGAAUACCGGAGAAUGUUAUCACGGGAGACACACGGCGGGUGCUAACGUCCGUCGUGAAGAGGGAAACAACCCAGACCGCCAGCUAAGGUCCCAAAGUCAUGGUUAAGUGGGAAACGAUGUGGGAAGGCCCAGACAGCCAGGAUGUUGGCUUAGAAGCAGCCAUCAUUUAAAGAAAGCGUAAUAGCUCACUGGUCGAGUCGGCCUGCGCGGAAGAUGUAACGGGGCUAAACCAUGCACCGAAGCUGCGGCAGCGACACUGUGUGUUGUUGGGUAGGGGAGCGU
rnacentral:rRNA from 1 species